AUGAAAGUGCAGAGAAUUGGUGUGCCCUAUUUGGGUCACCAUAUGAGAAAUGUGGCUUCCUCUAAAGAGAGAUGCAUGACCUCCUCUACAUUGGUAAGGCCUCCCCUAGAGAGAAGAUAGUUUCCUAUGGAGAAAAACAUCACGGAUGUGUCUCUUUUAGAUUGAAAAGUUGGUUUUUUGUAAAGAACCAGUUCCCAUGAAGGUUUUGGGUGGUUUUUCCUUUUAGCAAGAGAGUUUUGGUUACUCUCAAGGUUCUCAUCUUAGACAGUGGUUUAGUUGUGAAAUAGAUAUGAUUUCUUCCUGUACAAUGCUUUAGCUGUGUAAUGGAGAUAUGAGAGAUCGAUAGUGGUGCCUAUUAGGAGAACAUGUUUAAAAGGGUUUGCUCAACUGAGUUUUGUUGAGGAUUAAAGACGUAACUCUCUGUCCCAAAAUCUAUGAUGUAACUUUCAUUGGAUAUAACGAAUUUCAGUUUCCUGUGCCUGUACAUGUAGCCCCUUUUGGUGAACCACGUAAAUCUUUGUGUUCUUAUAGCAUGUGUGUUUCAUGCCUAAUUUCCCGUAUUAUGGUUUGUGCUCUCUCUUAUUUUGUUUCUAGCUAGAUAAGUAAACGAUCUUGAUGGGAUCAACUUUCGGAUUCUUGUUUCCGCAUCUAAGAGGGUUCUUAAAGGAAAUAAAAAUCCAAAAGAUUAGGACUUUGGGAUACAUAUUUUGAUUCUUGAGAUAUAUGUAACAUCUUUAGGAAGUUUCUUGUUUAAUAUGGAUUCCUAACCUUAUAUAUAUGAGAUGACAGUGAGAAUUGAUGUGCCCUAUUUGCGUCACCAUAUGAAAAAUGUGGCUUCCUUUAGAGAGAGAGAGGCAUGGGCCUCCUAUAUAUGAGAGGUAAGGUCUCAUCUUAAAGAGAAGAUUCCUAUGAAGAAAAACUCCACGCUGUGCCUUCGAUAAAUUGAGAGGUUGGUUUCUUGUAAAGAAACGAUUCCCAUGAAGAUUUUGAGUGAUUUCUCUUUUUAGUGAGAGAAAGUCUAUGUUGCUCUCAAGGUCCUUCUCCUGUACAGUGGUUUAGCUAUGGAAUGGAGAUGAUCUCUUCUUGGACAGUGGUUUAGCUGUGGAAUAGAGAUUACAUGUCGACGAUUUUCCCGAUCAAGAGACUGGGUUUUGUCGAGGGUUAGAGCGAGAAUUCACGUGCCCUAUUUCGAUCAUCAUAUGAGAAAUGUGGUUUCCUCUAGAGAGAGAGAGGCAAGGGGCUCCUGUGCAUGAGAGGCAAAGCUUCUCCUUAGAGAGAAGAGAGCUUCCUAUGGAGAGAAACUAAAUGUAGAUUGAGAUGCUGGUUUUUUGUAGAGAAGUGUUCCUCUGAAGAUUUUUUGUGGUUUCCCCUUUUAGUGAGAAAAAGCCUUGGUUGUUCUUAAGGUUAUCCUCCAGGACAGUGGUUUAGUUGUGGAAUAGAGAUGAGACGUCGACGAUGGUGUCGAUCGGGAGCCUGGGUUUAAAAGGGUUUACUCGACUGAAUUUUGUAGAGGGUUAUAGAGGCAACUCUAUAUCCCAAAAUCUGUAAUGUAACUUUAUUGGAAUAGUGGAUUUCAGUUUGUUGUGCCCGU